UAAUCUUCAUGGGACUGAAAGAAUUUACGCUCACUCUCUCAGCUCUUGCAGUGGCAUAAUUUUGGCUGAUGCCUCACAAAGAAGAAAGUCUCAAAAUGGUGAUAUCCUAUUACAUGGCAUCAAGUGUUCCCCACAGACAUAUGGUAAAUGGCCAGGCAAGAGAGUGGGAGUAGACUGUGCUACAACAGAAGUGUGCAGAGGAAAACUCAUUUGCUGGAAGCAGUAGUUACAGGGGGAUCAAGUCAAGCCACAGAACUCAUCCUGGCAAGCGGAACUCGCUCUCACGCAACCCAGUCUUAGUGCAUUAUUCACCAGUCGUGCCUGGACAUCUCUCCCCAGAUCAUUGGUGGGCACGGAACAUGCUGGAAGAAGAGUGGGUCCCUCCAGGGUCAGAGCGGCACAGCUGGUUGUUACAAGGUCAAACAGACCCAAUACCCUGUUCUAGAGGUGGAUUCACCAGGAGAGUGGUGAUGUGACCCAAGGUCACCGUAGCAAGUGGUGCUGGAGUCAGCAGCAGAGUGAAAUUUCCUGGCUGUCGUCUCCAUGCUGUUCUCUCGCAUCACUGAUUGCUCAGGUCAUCCAGACCUGCAACCUGGCAGUGUUCCUUGCACUAAAUAAAUAAAAUAAAAGCAAAAAUGUGACAGUGGCAAAGCCAAACACUCCAAAAUGAUGAAAUGCCACAACUAAGGUGGCCUUUUCCAGCAGAAUUACACAUGUUGCACACAGAAUUGCAC
rnacentral:lncRNA from 12 species